rnacentral:rRNA from 1 species
UACAGAGGAGCCAAGCGUUGUCCGGAUUGACUGGGCGUAAAGCGCACGCAGGCGGAUGCGCGCGUGGGGGGUGAAAUCUGGCCGCUUAACGGCCAGGCGCCAUCCCAUACGGCGCGUCUGGAGUGAUGCAGAGGUCGAUGGAAUUGCCGGUGUAGUGGUGAAAUGCGUAGAGAUCGGCAGGAACACCCAGGGGGAAACCAGUCGACUGGGCAUCUACUGACGCUGAGGUGCGAGAGCGUGGGGAGCGAACCGG